GCCUUUUCUGCUAAAGACCCUGAGCAGCCUGGCAAAUGUUCUCAGCUGGGGUAACUUACUCUGAUGGCUGAUCCUGGCACGGCCAGGGCUCAGGACAUCGUCGGGGAAACUCGCUCCUUGCUCUUCACCGUGCAUUCAGAUUCCAGAAGGCAUGAAGGCUUUUCAGUCUGUUGGAAAAGGCUCAACUGCUCUUGAAAACUUUAAAGAUCAUUUCACAAAAGUGAUGAUGUGUAUAAACCAAAGAGAUCUAAAAUCCUUGGUGGUCUACAAAUGCCAUCAGUCCUCAGCUACUAAGCUUUAUCUGCACUUUGGAGAAGGCAGUGACUCUACUCAUGUCUCGUAUCCAGGAGUGUGGAGCGUGUGUAAGAAAGUGCCAUAAUAAUUUUUGAGUACCGAGAAGGAAAACACCGUUGUACACAGAAUUAUUUCCAACAAAUUGGAGGAUUGCUGUCCCAAUAUACAUAAUUUGGAGCUCAAAUGCUUCCCCACCUUGCACUAUUCUUGCACACAGAAUCCCAUGUUGAUUGUAUUGACUGGAUGGAAAUAAGGUCACUGCACAGCGAGGCAUUGAGCUUAUUACUGAUGUUACAAGGGAUUGUUUUCCUUAGGUAAGUACAGGGAUGUUGAUAGCUAAACUAUACCGUGUGUUUGUUUUGGGUAAACUUUUUGCUGUAAUUCAGUUUAUGAGAGGGAUCUUUCUCUUAAAAACAUUGGACAUGUCUGCAUACUAAUAAGAGAGUAUGUUCUUUAGCUCUACAUACUGGGGAGCCUGAAAACUGGUAAUUUAAGUCCAGGAGAAGUU